rnacentral:rRNA from 1 species
CCUACGGGAGGCAGCAGUAAGGAAUAUUGGUCAAUGGACGAAAGUCUGAACCAGCCAUGCCGCGUGAAGGAUGACGGCCCUCUGGGUUGUAAACUUCUUUUAUCUGGGACGAAAAAAGGGAAUUCUUUCUCACUUGACGGUACCAGAGGAAUAAGCACCGGCUAACUCCGUGCCAGCAGCCGCGGUAAUACGGAGGGUGCAAGCGUUAUCCGGAUUCACUGGGUUUAAAGGGAGCGUAGGUGGGCAGGUAAGUCAGUGGUGAAAUCUCCGGGCUUAACCCGGAAACUGCCAUUGAUACUAUUUGUCUUGAAUUAUCUGGAGGUAAGCGGAAUAUGUCAUGUAGCGGUGAAAUGCUUAGAUAUGACAUAGAACACCCAUUGCGAAGGCAGCUUACUACGGAUAUAUUGACACUGAGGCUCGAAAGCGUGGGGAUCAAACAGGAUUAGAUACCCUGGUAGUCCACGCCCUAAACGAUGGAUACUCGACAUCAGCGAUACACUGUUGGUGUCUGAGCGAAAGCAUUAAGUAUCCACCUGGGAAGUACGACCGCAAGGUUGAAACUCAAAGGAAUUGACGGCUGAGAGNGCGAGACGACGACGAGGAGAGG